rnacentral:tRNA from 2 species
GUUCCCUUCGUCUAGAGGCCUAGGACACCACCCUUUCACGGUGGAUACAGGGGUUCGAAUCCCCUAGGGAACGCCA